rnacentral:rRNA from 1 species
ACGGAAGGCAGCAGUGAGGAAUAUUGGUCAAUGGACGCAAGUCUGAACCAGCCAUGCCGCGUGCAGGAAGACGGCUCUAUGAGUUGUAAACUGCUUUUGUACUAGGGUAAACGCUUCUACGUGUAGGAGCCUGAAAGUAUAGUACGAAUAAGGAUCGGCUAACUCCGUGCCAGCAGCCGCGGUAAUACGGAGGAUCCAAGCGUUAUCCGGAUUUAUUGGGUUUAAAGGGUGCGUAGGCGGUUUAGUACGUCAGCGGUGAAAUUUUGGUGCUUAACACCAAACGUGCCGUUGAUACUGCUGGGCUAGAGAGUAGUUGCGGUAGGCGGAAUGUAUGGUGUAGCGGUGAAAUGCUUAGAGAUCAUACAGAACACCGAUUGCGAAGGCAGCUUACCAAACUAUAUCUGACGUUGAGGCACGAAAGCGUGGGGAGCAAACAGGAUUAGAUACCCUGGUA